rnacentral:lncRNA from 1 species
GGGCCAGCUCCUGCUUCCAACCCUCGGCUUCCUGCUGGUGCUGGCGCUCGAGCUCCUCACACGACAGCCGCAGCGAGAUGUACUUCUCCUUCAGCUCGGCCAGCUGCUCCUGGGCUUCCUCCAGCUCCUUGCCCAGGUUCCCGUCUUUGGUGUUCUUGCUCUUGAGGACGACCUGAGCCCGCACCUUGUACCUCUCAAACUCCUCCUUCAGCUGUUUCAGCUCCUGCUGGUAGUAGAGCGCCGUAGCCUUCUCCCCGUCGGCAGCCUCCGAGCUGGGCAUUAUCUCCAGGUCGCAGAGCUUCUCCACGUCCAAGGUCGCCUGGCUCUUCCGGGCUGCGACCUGCAGCAGCUUCUUCAGCUUCUCCAUCUUGUCCUUUAGGACAUUGACAUCCAGACUGGACUCCUCUCCAUGGCUGUCCAGAGGGGACCGGCUGGAGGCCGCCAGCGCCAGCGUCCUGUUCUCCAGGUCCAGCUGCAGAAUGCGCUCCUUCAGCUUCUGGAUGGUCAGCUGGUCUUUUUGCUUGGCUUUCUCAUAGGUGCCCAGCAGUUCUGACACCUCGGAUAUUUGAUUUUCCAGGGCUGCCACCCUCUGCUCUUCCACCUGCGACUGCUGGCGUAGCUGAUCCUCGGCCAGGGCUGUCUGGAAAACAAGGGAACAGAUGGAAGUGCAUCCAAAGAAGCCACAAGGCCUGAUGGCAAACUCUGGGAAGGCAAGAGAAGGCCAAGCUCCCACAAAGUGUGCUUCCCCAAAUCCCAUGAAGAAACCAUAUGACAUUCUUUUCCUUUUCCAAUAUUCCUGGAAGUUCAAAAUUGACUUGGGGAGUUCCUGUCGUGACUCAGUGGUUAACGAACCUGACUGGCAUCCAUGAGGACACAGGUUCGAUCCCUGGCCUCGCUCAGUGGGUUAAGGAUCCGGCAUUGCCAUGAGCUGUGGUGUAGGUCACAGACUCGGCUCAGAUCCCACACUGCUGUGGCCCUGGCAUAGGCUGGUGGCUACAGCUCUGACUGGACCCCUAACCUGGGAACCUCCAUAUGCUGUGGGUGUGGCCCUAAAAACAGAGAGAGACAAAAUAAAAUAAAAUAAAAUUGACUUGGAUUUCUCCCC